GCGACCCCAGGUCAGCGGGACUACCCGCUGAGU
rnacentral:rRNA from 1 species